CGCUGGCGGCAGGCCUAACACAUGCAAGUCGAGCGAGGACUUCGGUCCUAGCGGCGGACGGGUGAGUAACGCGUGGGAACGUGCCCUUUGCUUCGGAAUAGCCCUGGGAAACUGGGAGUAAUACCGGAUGAGCCCUUUGGGGGAAAGAUUUAUCGGCGAAGGAUCGGCCCGCGUUGGAUUAGGUAGUUGGUGGGGUAAUGGCCUACCAAGCCGACGAUCCAUAGCUGGUUUGAGAGGAUGAUCAGCCACACUGGGACUGAGACACGGCCCAGACUCCUACGGGAGGCAGCAGUGGGGAAUCUUAGACAAUGGGGGAAACCCUGAUCUAGCCAUGCCGCGUGAGCGAUGAAG
rnacentral:rRNA from 1 species